UACGUCCUUCCAGAUUUUGAUCUCUCUGUGUGCUUUUUUUUUUUUUUUUUAAACACACUACCUACAAUUGGGUUGCCCUGUCAUCUUAUUCCACCCCAAGGAAUCAACUCUGAAUUGGAUCAAGGUGGGAGUUGCAUCAUUAGCGAACGCGGACAUUUAUAAAUGGAGAGCCGUCAAUUCUAAAGGAGGAGGAAGAAGAGAUAACCAUGAGAACAGAACCGAUAUUAGGAAUUUGGCCCCAGGAAAGAAGUUUCCAGGGAAAGGCGUAGAGUCCACGUGGGUACAAUUUGACUUAAUGUUCUUUCUAUUUCAUCAUGGAUGGUUAUUCAGUACAGAAUGAGGGCACUGAAAAAGUCUGAAUUAUCCAAGAAAAAUGAUGCUUUUUCGACUCGUGGUUUAGUUUAUUGGCAUCCAAACCUGCUUCCUAAAAGAUGACACAUUUACCACUUUCCGUGUUUAAAGAUUAGGAGGUAUUUCUGGGGCACCCGGCCGGCUCCGUUGGUGAAGUGUUUGUCUCUUGAUCUUCAGGUCAUGAGUUCAAGCCCCAUG